rnacentral:rRNA from 1 species
ACGGAGGGUCCAAGCGUUAUCCGGAUUUAUUGGGUUUAAAGGGUGCGCAGGCGGAUUUGUAAGUCAGUGGUGAAAUCCCCCGGCUCAACCGGGGAACUGCCAUUGAUACUGCUAAUCUAGAGUACAGUUGAAGUAGGCGGAAUGUAGCAUGUAGCGGUGAAAUGCAUAGAGAUGCUACAGAACACCGAUUGCGAAGGCAGCUUACUAAGCUGUAACUGACGCUCAGGCACGAAAGCGUGGGGAGCAAACAGG